rnacentral:rRNA from 1 species
UACGUAGGGGGCAAGCGUUUGUCCGGAUUUAUUGGGCGUAAAGAGCGUGUAGGCGGUCAGGUAGGUCCGUUGUGAAAACUCGAGGCUCAACCUCGAGACGCCGAUGGAAACCAUCUGACUAGAGUCCGGAAGAGGAGAGUGGAAUUCCUGGUGUAGCGGUGAAAUGCGCAGAUAUCAGGAGGAACACCGGUGGCGAAGGCGGAUCUCUGGGCCUGUUCUGACGCUGAGGCGCGAAAGCUAGGGGAGCGAACAGG